rnacentral:rRNA from 2 species
AAAGCUACCCCGGGGAUAACAAGGCUUAUCUCCCCCAAGAGUCCACAUCGACGGGAGGUUUGGCACCUCGAUGUCGGCUCAUCGCAUCCUGGGGCUGUAGUCGGUCCCAAGGGUUGGGCUGUUCGACCCAUUAAAGCGGUACGCGAGCUGGGUUCAGAACGUCGUGAGACAGUUCGGUCCCUAUCCGUCGCGGGCGCAGGAAAUUUGAGAGGAGCUGUCCUUAGUACGAGAGGACCGGGAUGGACGCACCGCUGGUGUACCAGUUGUUCUGCCAAGGGCAUCGCUGGGUAGCUAUGUGCGGACGGGAUAAGUGCUGAAAGCAUCUAAGCAUGAAGCCCCCCUCAAGAUGAGAUUUCCCAUUCCGCAAGGAAGUAAGAUCCCUGAAAGAUGAUCAGGUUGAUAGGUCUGAGGUGGAAGCGUGGUGACACGUGGAGCUGACAGAUACUAAUAGAUCGAGGACUUAACCUAU